rnacentral:tRNA from 1 species
GGAGAGGUGUCCGAGUGGCUGAAGGAGCACGCUUGGAAAGCGUGUGUAGUGAAUGCUACCGCGGGUUCGAAUCCCGCCCUCUCCG